rnacentral:lncRNA from 1 species
UACCUAUAUUUCUGAAAUCUGAGAGAGAACUUCAUUAAUGUAUUUGAUAAAUACCAGUAUGCAGAACUAUUCUUUGUUAAACGUACUGCACAGUUUGCUGGAAAAGGUCAAACUCAUAAAAUGAUGAUAUUUUAUACCUUAAACCGACGUUGCAAAAUGGUUUAGAUGGAAACGAAAAUACUUCAAAUAUAACUGAUACAUGUAUAGAUAAAAAGGCAACCGAUUCCCUUAUUGUACAUUGUUUUCUCAUAUUCACUGUUGAAAAGAGAAAAAAAAUACCGAAAUCCAUGUGCAAAAGGGGGUGGGGGGGGAAGGAGGCGGAUAGCAGUUAAUUAAAUCUGAUAAGAUCAUACUUUCGAAUCCCUGUCUUGGUACAGGCCUUAUCUGAGGAUACUGGUUUUCACCAAAAUUGUAACCUUCACGUGUAUGUU